GGCCUCUUAGCUCAGUGGUUAGAGCAGGCGACUCAUAAUCGCUUGGUCGCUGGUUCGAAUCCAGCAGGGGCCA
rnacentral:tRNA from 1 species